CAGGCUGCAGAGGGUGCAAACCACACAUAAAUACCAAUUAAAUAAGAACAUAAACAGCUGACGUUCUCCAAAUCAAGCAGCUGGCUGUAGAAAGUACAAGUCCCUAGAAUCUGCAAGAAAAAUCAUUGUAACAGACGAUUUUCUGACAUGAAUCACAAAGACUGCACCAAGAUUCUAGAUGGGAAAGGAAAUACAUUUCCGUAACCGAAUCAGCUAUCUUCACACAGAAAGAAGGGAUCUAAGCUAUCACCAGAAACAUAUUUUAUCAUUAGUGUGCAAAUAAUUCAUUAGGAAUGCAAGAUCCAGCAUAAGUUCAUAACUAAAGAGAGAUUAAGGUAACAAAUACUGUUCACCACAAAGCAGCACUUCGACAAAACAGAUGACUAAAUCCUUGGGGAGAAAAUAGAAACGAAACAGAAGAAAUGGAAAAAGUAUGUGUCAAGAUAUUCCUUUGAAUUUCUACUAACAAACAGAAAUGAACAUCAAUCCCUGCCACCAGAAAAAUAUUAAACCAUUAGUUACAACAUCAAAAAAGUGAACACAGAACUAGUAGCUGUCCACUUAGCUAAUAGCAACCAUACAAUUACAUCAUGUGAAGUUUCAACAAUUACAGAAAACUCUUUUUCACGUAAAGAUUCCUGCUGCAAACUGAAACAAUGCUGAUGAUAGAGGAAUGAUAUGAUGAUACAAGAGCAAUUAUAAAAGAAAUAAACAGGUUUUCAUAGAGAUGUGGAUGCUAAAUGACCUUUUUUCCUCAAAACAUCAACGAGAAACAAGAGAAGUUAUAGCUGCUAAUUUCAAUCACUGAAAAUAGCAAGGUAACAUAAAGGUGAUGUCUCCUACUCAUACCAAGGAUGACCAGAUCAUGGACUGUUGUACCACCUCAAACCACCCACACAAGGUGUACCAUACCAUAGUAGGUCAGAACUAAUAUUUGAGUUGGUCGUACCAAGAUUGCAAACCUUGGACCAAAUAAAAUAAAAAAGAAAUGAGUAAGUAAAAUAAUUACUUGUCACUCUGCACAAUCAGCAUUUUAAGAAACAGGGGAAACAAUUAUAAUUGAACCCACUAGAUAUGAGGCCAUAUAAGUCAGUGACCAAGCAUCAACUAGCAGCCUUUCAGCAAGUAUUGAGAAAAUAGGCCUACACAAUCAGGUUAUAAUUGUAUAAACAGAACUGAAACUCUCUGAGUAGUGUCCCAAGGAAAAUGGUCUCAAAAGUUUUUGAAAAAAAUUAGUUAAAGUCCAUUCCUCUUGUUGCAGUUGACCAUAGAUCAUCAUUUGUCGACCAUGUUGCAAGCUUCGGACAUUAAAUUAGCAAGGUCACCAAAUAUGCAACUAGCAUACGCAUAUCCAAAAACUGGAAAUUUCUAUCCAUAGACUUAAACAUUCAAAACUUCCAGCCUAAUCCACGCAGGUCAACAAACCAAGAAACAGAAAAGAAGAUAAAAAGAGGAAUAAGAACAUAAUUCAGUUCCCAAAACCUGAUUGACUCCCUCACCCAUCCACCUUGGUCAAUUUUCCCCCCUCCUGCAGCCAGAUCUCACCUUGCCAUGGUUGUGACACGCACUGGAAGGAGAAGAUUUGCCAGAUCUCUUCUCACUAUCCCUCUCUUGUUGUAGGUAAUGGGGAAGGCCAUGCCAGAGGAGCAAGCAAAACCACAAGAGGUGGCAUCAUUAACGGAGUGGUGGAGGGGAAGGCAGUGAAAAGAGGAUAUGAAGCAGCCAGAUCUUGAUUGGAAGAGGGCUCCUCCUCUUCUUCAUGCGGAUUGAGGUGGUGUGGCCAGAUUAAUCGAUGGCUGGAUACGGGAGCUACAAGUUUGAGGAAAAGGGGAAGUCCUCUUGUCCUCCUCGAGGGAGUGUACCUCCACCUCCGAGUGCCAAACCACCCUUUAAGGCUCGACAUGUUUUAUUUUCCUCAAAUGACCUUACGUGGCUUGUUCGCAGAACAAAAGGCAACUC
rnacentral:lncRNA from 1 species